rnacentral:rRNA from 1 species
UACGUAGGGCGCAAGCGUUGUCCGGAAUUAUUGGGCGUAAAGAGCUCGUAGGCGGCUUGUCACGUCGAUUGUGAAAGCCCGAGGCUUAACCUCGGGUCUGCAGUCGAUACGGGCUAGCUAGAGUGUGGUAGGGGAGAUCGGAAUUCCUGGUGUAGCGGUGAAAUGCGCAGAUAUCAGGAGGAACACCGGUGGCGAAGGCGGAUCUCUGGGCCAUUACUGACGCUGAGGAGCGAAAGCGUGGGGUGCGAACAGG